rnacentral:ribozyme from 1 species
UGCCAAGCAACUCCUAUCCCUACCUCCACGCGGUACCGGCCGGAAACUAUGAGCAACCUUAGGGAAGAUCGGGUAACCAACCCCGGUGGGAACUUUGGUCGUAGGCUGACAGGCAAGG